GAUGGCAGUUUGGAGUUUGCUCAAGGUUUCCAGUUAAAAUGUUUCUAUUUUCCUUAAAAACUACCGAAAUUACCAAUACAUUUAUAUGUACAUCGAUGUACAUAUUUAUUAAGUGCCAUCUGCUUGUUGGCACCUGUGUUCCAGCUUCUUUGUUUUUGCCGGUUUUGCAGACCAAAUGAAGUCUUAAUUUGAUAUACUAUAUAUUUUGUCUUUUCUGUUUCCCUAUCAAAUUAUAUUUAUGGAUCAUGGAAAUUCCAAGCUUUCACAACAAGUUCCUGAAGUUUUUACAUCAACCACAGCUUUUGCUACAGAACAUCGACUUUAUGGCCCUAAAUUUUGGAUGAAUACAACAGGUUCUCUCUUCGACUCUUGAGUAAUUGGUACUUCCAACACAGUUGAAGUGUUAAUCAAGUAGUGAUGUACUAUUGUUUCCAUUUUCAACUAAAAGCAUGCAGCAAACUUCCCAAAGCAAGCAGAGACCAUCCGAGCUGAAGGCAAGCUCACCUCUGCAUCCAACCCAAUCCAUCCAGCAGUAAAGAAGCCCUGUUUGCGACAGCCGUAGUCGUGGCCGGUAGGACUUCGACGCCGAAAUUCAACUGCCCUUGGAACUGAAAGACCAAACGAACGUACAGAGUCAGCUCUGGCAAUAGGCGAUUGUAUAGCAUCUAGCGGAGAAAUUCUUUACUGAUUAUCUGCCAUUGCCAUUCAUCGUCUGCUACGUAACUUUUU
rnacentral:lncRNA from 1 species